AAUGCCGACUAGGGAUCGGUCGGAUUGUUUAUCUUUUUGUACUCGCUCGGCACCUUACGAGAAAUCGGAAGUUUUUGGGGUUUCUUGGGGGGAGGUUAUGGUCGCAAGGCUUGAAACUUUAAAGAAAUUAGACGGAAGGGCACCACCGAGUGGAGCCUGCGGCUUAAUUUGACCCAACACGGGGAAACUCACCAGGUCCAGACACAAUUAAGGAUUGACAGGAUUGAGAGCUCUUUCUUAAUUUUGUGGGUGGUGGUGCAUGGCCGUUCUUAGUUGGUGGAGUGAUUUGUCUGCUUAAUUGCGAUAACGAACGAGACCUUAACCUGCUAAAUAGCCCGGCUAGCUUUGGCUGGUCGCUGGCUUCUUAGAGGGACUAUCGGCUCAAGCCGAUGGAAGUUUGAGGCAAUAACAGGUCUGUGAUGCCCUUAGAUGUUCUGGGCCGCACGCGCGCUACACUGACAGAGCCAACGAGUUCAUCACCUUGGCCGAAAGGUCUGGGUAAUCUUGUUAAACUCUGUCGUGCG
rnacentral:rRNA from 1 species